rnacentral:rRNA from 1 species
UACGUAGGGUGCAAGCGUUAAUCGGAAUUACUGGGCGUAAAGCGUGCGCAGGCGGUGAUGUAAGACAGUUGUGAAAUCCCCGGGCUCAACCUGGGAACUGCAUCUGUGACUGCAUCGCUGGAGUGCGGCAGAGGGGGAUGGAAUUCCGCGUGUAGCAGUGAAAUGCGUAGAUAUGCGGAGGAACACCGAUGGCGAAGGCAAUCCCCUGGGCCUGCACUGACGCUCAUGCACCGAAAGCGUGGGGAGCAA